AGUAGACGUUCAGAGUUGAUCCUGGCUCAGGAUGAACGCUAGCGGCAGGCUUAACACAUGCAAGUCGAGGGGCAGCAUGAAGGUUAGCAAUAACCUUUGAUGGCGACCGGCGCAAGGGUGCGUAACGCGUGAGCAACUUGCCCGUUUCUGGGGAAUAACCGGUGGAAACGCCGACUAAUACCCCAUAGCAUCAGAAUGAGGCAUCUCAAUCUGAUUAAAGAAUUUCGGAAACGGAUAGGCUCGCGUGACAUUAGCUAGAUGGCGGGGUAACGGCCCACCAUGGCGACGAUGUCUAGGGGUUCUGAGAGGAAGGUCCCCCACACUGGAACUGAGACACGGUCCAG
rnacentral:rRNA from 1 species